rnacentral:rRNA from 1 species
UACGUAGGGUGCAAGCGUUUGUCCGGAAUUAUUGGGCGUAAAAGAGCUCGUAGGCGGUUUGUCGCGUCUGCUGUGAAAAACUCGGGGCUUAACUCCGGGCCUGCAGUGGGUACGGGCAGACUGGAGUGCGGUAGGGGAGAAUGGAAUUCCUGGUGUAGCGGUGGAAUGCGCAGAUAUCAGGAGGAACACCGAUGGCGAAGGCAGUUCUCUGGGCCGUAACUGACGCUGAGGAGCGAAAGCGUGGGGAGCGAACAGG